rnacentral:rRNA from 1 species
UACGGGGGGUGCGAGCGUUGUCCGGAAUCACUGGGCGUAAAGGGCGCGUAGGUGGUUUGAUAAGGGUGUGGUGAAAGUCCGGAGCUCAACUCCGGAUCUGCCGUGCCGACUGUCAAACUCGAGGGCUGUAGAGGCGAGUGGAAUUCCGGGUGUAGCGGUGGAAUGCGUAGAGAUCCGGAAGAACACCGGUGGCGAAGGCGGUCGACUGGGCAGUUGCUGGACACUGAGGCGCGACAGCGUGGGGAGCAA